rnacentral:lncRNA from 1 species
AACAAAAGGAGAAAUGGCAUGGCUUCGUUUUUACCUGCAAAGGGAGGAUUUUUGGACGAACUGUUUUAGAUCUGCUCGUUUGGGUCUCAGUGUUGCGGACCAGAGCACUAUUAUAGAGGAAUCAGACAUGCCUGUGUUGCUCCACCAUGGAUGGGGUCUGAGAGGAAAUUAAGAGAGAGCAGACAUGGGAUCCGAGAGAAAUGCGAAAAAGAAACUAAAUGGAAGGGAGAAGGUUUUUGCAUUUUUUUGGAGUAAUGA